GUCAGGAUGGCCGAUGGUCUAAGGCGCUGCGUUUCAGGCUUCCACUUCUGUGGGCGUGGGUUCGAAUCCCACUUCUGACA